rnacentral:tRNA from 1 species
GGUAACAUGGCCGAGUGGUCUAAGGCGCUGGAAUUAGGUGUUUACGUCAGCAUUGAUCGAUCGGUGACUGUCGAUCGAUCGUUUACAUAAUAAUCCAGUCCUCCGGGGCGUGAGUUCGAACCUCACUGUUAUCA